rnacentral:rRNA from 1 species
UCGCCUGUUUUAUCAAAAACAUAGUCUUAUGAAAUUUAUAUAAGAUUUUACCUGCCCGGUGAUUAUUUUAACGGCCGCAGUACUUUGACUGUGCUAAGGUAGCAUAAUAAAUUGACUUUUAAUUGAAGUCUAGAAUGAAAGGAUAAAUGAAUAUUUACUGUCUUAUUUAAAAUAUUUUUAAAUUACUUAAAAAGUGAAAAUUCUUUUAUUUAUUUUAAUAGACGAGAAGACCCUAGGAGUUUUAUUUUAUUUUUGUUGGGGCAACAUUAUAGCAAAAUUAACCUAUAAAUAAUUAAUUUUAUAUAACGAUAAUUAUAAUUUAGUUUAAACUACCCUAGGGAUAACAGCAUAAUUAAAUUUUUAGCUUAUGACCUCGAUGUUGGAUUAGGAACUUUAAAUAUUAGCUAUAUUUAUUGGUUGUUCUGUUCGAACAAAUUUACCUACGUGAUCUGAGUUCAGA